GGCAAUGUGGUAUAGUGGUUAGUACAGGCUCUUGGAAUCAGACAGGCCUGGGUCCACAUCCCAGCACUGCCC
rnacentral:tRNA from 1 species